CGAAAGUCUGACGGAGCAACGCCGCGUGAACGAUGAAGGCCUUCGGGUCGUAAAGUUCUGUUGUUAGGGAAGAACAAGUACCGGAGUAACUGCCGGUACCUUGACGGUACCUAACCAGAAAGCCACGGCUAACUACGUGCCAGCAGCCGCGGUAAUACGUAGGUGGCAAGCGUUGUCCGGAAUUAUUGGGCGUAAAGCGCGCGCAGGCGGUUCCUUAAGUCUGAUGUGAAAGCCCCCGGCUCAACCGGGGAGGGUCAUUGGAAACUGGGGAACUUGAGUACUGAAGAGGAAAGCGGAAUUCCACGUGUAGCGGUGAAAUGCGUAGAGAUGUGGAGGAACACCAGUGGCGAAGGCGGCUUUCUGGUCAGUAACUGACGCUGAGGCGCGAAAGCGUGGGGAGCAAACAGGAUUAGAUACCCUGGUAGUCCACGCCGUAAACGAUGAGUGCUAAGUGUUAGAGGGUUUCCGCCCUUUAGUGCUGCAGCAAACGCAUUAAGCACUCCGCCUGGGGAGUACGGUCGCAAGACUG
rnacentral:rRNA from 1 species